AUUUGUAACUUUAUUUUAGUAGUUGACGUAUAAUUGAAGUGAAAAUAAUAUUGUUUUGCAUUUAUUUAAUGUGUGUAAUUAUUGCAUGUAUUCCGAUGCGCACGUGUAGAGCUAUCCUAUGUUCAUGACAAUCCAAGAUGGCCGGUCGUGAAUGUCUCCAGUAAAAGUUCUACAAUUCUAAUCCUUCAACGCUGAGUCCUUUAAUUGGAACAGUUACAUGGUGGGUGUUUGGUUCUUCGCUACAUUUCGAACACUUACUAUGACUAUUACUUAUCCUAGAAUUUUUCCUGUUGCCGUCAUGACUGUUGUGGUAGUAUCUGAUUCAAUAUUCCGUAAGUAUUCAUUUAAAUUUGGUAGUAGGCUUCUUACAACUGCGUCGGCUGUAAUGUAUACCUUCAGAUGUGAGUAACGAGCUUCUUACUAUUAUCAAUUUUUACUUUAACGUGGUUUACAGCAUUCUUCCUCUUUUUAGGUUAUGAAUAGUUACCUCGGUAUUUAUUACCUUCGGUAUCUUCAUACCUGUGAGUAGAAUGCUCUUAAAAUUUUGCAAUGGUCAACCGUAAGUCCUGUUAUCUUGUAAAUGUUGUUGACGGGCAUCAAUUAUUGUCCGUUAUCCUUGUUUCUUUUAAUUCAACUUUAAUGUUGUUAUAAAUAUUUAAUAUUAGUGCAAUUGAGAUUAACUUAUCCAUUUGUUUCAGCUGACCGUCGUAUGUUUUACAAAAUGAAUCCGUAGCCUAUCCUUGUGGAGUUGUGGAGUUCACUUCCUCCAUGUACACUUUCUUCUACGAUGAUUAAUCGUGCACUAGGUACCUUUCACUUUCACUGCUUUUAAUUAUUUUAUUUAAUUAACACAUUUUAUAUUUAAAUAAUGGUUAGAACGCACAUAAUAAUUUUCCAUUUUCUUUUAGGUUUCCACUAUCUGCAGUAUUCAACAAGCAGUGUUAUUCCAUAUAACACCUAUUAUGUUGCCUCAUGAAAUCAUUCUGGUGGUCUGUUUCGAUUAUGUGUUAGUUUUAACUUGUUCAAGUGUACUGUUCGUGGAAUCUCUUUCACUUCAAACUUGACGUUUCGUGUGUGGAUUCUGACAAUAGUGCCUGGUUUGUCGAAGUGUGAGAAUAUGCCUAGGUGUUUUAUAUAUUUUAUAUCCCGUUGUAUAUAAGAUAUAUUUUGUUUAUUGUGGUUUUGUAUGUCCAUAUGUGCUAUAGAUUAGAUUGUUCGAUAUUUCA